CCCUACGGGGGGCAGCAGUGGGGAAUAUUGCACAAUGGAGGAAACUCUGAUGCAGCAACGCCGCGUGGAGGAUGACACAUUUCGGUGCGUAAACUCCUUUUAUAUGAGAAGAUAAUGACGGUAUCAUAUGAAUAAGCACCGGCUAACUCCGUGCCAGCAGCCGCGGUAAUACGGGGGGUGCAAGCGUUACUCGGAAUCACUGGGCGUAAAGAGCAUGUAGGCGGGUGAAUAAGUUGGAAGUGAAAUCCUAUAGCUUAACUAUAGAACUGCUUCCAAAACUGUUCACCUAGAGUAUGGGAGAGGUAGAUGGAAUUUCUGGUGUAGGGGUAAAAUCCGUAGAGAUCAGAAGGAAUACCGAUUGCGAAGGCGAUCUACUGGAACAUUACUGACGCUCAGAUGCGAAAGCGUGGGGAGCAAACAGGAUUAGAUACCCGAGUAGUCG
rnacentral:rRNA from 1 species